CAGGUAAAGAGGCCAUGCUGCUAGCUAGUUGGCUACGAGCUAAGCUAAGUAGUGAAACAGCAAAGACACAGAGUGACUACUGUGACUAUAAAUUAGGUAGUGAGUACACAGGGAGUGUGCUUCGGAUGAAGCAUGUGAAGAUUAUACUAUGAAAAAAGAAGGCAUCUACAGUAAGUUAUCUAAAAGAUUUAAAUUGCUAUGCAGAUAAGCCACUCAAAAACACCACUGUGUGUUGGAACAGGACGUGAUACUCUACCACAGAGAGAGCGAACACCAAGUGACAGGGUGGCCCCUUUUCGAGCAACAGUUGGAGCCCAUCAGGGAUUGAACCCAGAACCUUUUGCACCCAAGCCAAGAAACAGACCCCUGACCAACAAGCUACAUAUUGCGAGUGGCAGUGCUCUCAGAUGCUUGGUUAUUUUGGUAAUAUGCUUACUGUCUUUAAAUCAGAAAGCUAAUCUUUCACAUACACAGUAAUAAUGAAGUUGCCGUCCUCCACUGCUUUAUGUUGGCAGGUCCUGUGUAGAAAGAAUCUGACUGGACGUUGUUACUGGAAGGUGGAGUAGAGAGGGUUGAAGUUGCAGUCACAUACGAGAAUGAAGAACAUCAGUGUAGAUUUGAAAUGAAUGAUAAAAUAAAGGUGAAACACACUGUACUGUAAAAAUGACUUAUUACACACGUGCAAUGCAGGCUGUAAUAUAGAUAGCAGAUAAUUUAUCUGAAUUUCAGGAGCGGGACCACUUCUCCAAACAUGCCCCUUCCGGGUCUUAUCUAUAUUUGACCCCCCAGUUCAUUUUUGUUGCCCACCCUCCCUGCCCUUUUUUCAAUUCUUUCACUUCUUCACUACUUGUUAGGGUACCUGGGUCUGGUGACCCAGUGGUUUUGAUUUUGUUUGUGCAUAUUCUGACUUACUGUUUCUAUUAUUUAGUUUUGUAUUUCUAGCUUCCUAAGUUCUUUAGUAUGUCCUGAUUUCCAGUCUUAGGUUUUGUUUACAGUCUUCCCUAUGUUCAGUGUUAUGCCUUUUUCAUGUUUCUGUCUCAGUGUCAGGUUUGCAUUGCUGUGUUAUGUUUCCUGUUUUACUUUGACAGUCUGCAUCUAUUGAGGUGCUGGAUGUAUUACUCAAGGUCCUUACCUUCCAUCUUUCUAUAUAUGUAUAUAAUAUGUAAAUCUCCAAUCAACCAAUUUCAGUGGGCCAAUCUGAAUUAAACUUUACAUGAACAUUGUCACACAUGCAGUGAAUAUUAAAAUCUAUAUGUUAAAAAACAAACAAAAAAACUGUUAUCCCAAUUCUUUGGAUUCUUGGAGUUACAGAUUUAUCAUUGCCCUACAAAUGUGAUUUUAUGUAACAUUUUCAUUUGUAAAAAGUAAAGAAUGAAGACGCUGUUAAAGCACUGCACACCUGACAGUUAAUUAUUCUGUUAACAAGAACAUCUACAUCAUUUGUGGUAUCAUUACUGAGGAGGAGGAGGCUGGUUUUGG
rnacentral:lncRNA from 1 species